GUGCGUUCUAGUCACUCAGCUUCAUCAUGGCUGGACGCCUGCUGCUCAUCUUAAUCAUCUGUAAGUAUAAACUCUCAUCAGACUCAAUAUUUAAUGUUGUUUUUUGGGGUUUCAGUGUUUUUUAUUAAACUUUUACUUCAAGCUGGUUUAAAUGUUUUAUCUUUUCAACACUUUCCCCAACAGACUCCUGUCAUGAGCUCAGUGUAGGAGCUCUUCCUCAGCCUGCACUGACAGUGACUCCACAUGUGAUCACAGACACAGACUCGGUCACACUGAGCUGUCAGACUCCUCCGUCUGUUACUGCGUCUCAGUGUGAUUUCUACAUUGAAGCAGAAAUCAUCUCCUCAGUGUCCUGUGUGCAGAAUCUGACAGGAACUGAUCUGCUGAAGACGGCUCGUAGACGUUCACCUGCUGAGGUCAAAGUCAGAUGUUUUUACACUGUGAUGCUCGAUGCUCUUAAAUCUACAUCUCCAGACAGUAACCACACAACCAUCACCAUAAACAACCUUCGUCCACCUCAGCUGACAGUGAAUCCUCUGGUCAUCACAGAGACCGACACCGUCACAUUAAACUGUCAGACUCCAUCAGGAGUUUCUGACUGUUUAUUCAUUUUAAAACAAGAACCUGCCAAAAUAUUUCCUUGUCUGAAGACACUGACGGGAACUGAGCUGCUGUCGUUGGCUCGUCAAAGUUCACCUGCUCAUGUUGAAGUGACGUGUUUUUACCUCAUAUCACAUCCAUCUCCAAAGAGUCAGACAUCCACCAUCAUCAUACAGCGUGAGUACAUAAUACUGCUGUGGACUGUGCUGCUUUUAGUUGAUAUCUUCAGUUUUAAAAAUGAUCUAUUCCAUCAUGUGUUUCCAUCUUUAGUUCACCAGCCUACACUGACAGUGAAUCCACGGCUGAUCACAGAGACAGGCUCAGUCACGCUGAGCUGUGUGACUCCAUCACUUGGUUCUGAGUGUCAUUUGUAUUUCAUGAGAACCAAAAUAUUCAGAAACGUCUCAUGUCUGCAGACAUUCACAGGAAGUGAGCUGCUGUUCAUGGCACAUCAGAGUCCACCAGCUGAGGUUGAAGUCAGAUGUUUUUACACUGUAAAGAACAGAGGAGGAGAACAUAAAUCUCCACACAGUGACACAUCCUCCAUCAGCAUAAGAGAUGUUUUGGAAACUGCGACCAGUCAGCAAACCCCAACUUUCAGUAUGAUGACAGAACCUGCAGAGUCCACUACGCAGACAAGACCAACUCUCAGUAUGACCACAGGUAACUCAACAACAUUAUGAGUCUUUACAGCAGCUAACAGUGCUGGUUCACUUUUUAUCCAUUAGUUUCAGGACAGACUCAUACUGUGUUACCGCAUGUUCCCACCACUUCACUGAAUCUUACAACGGCAAAAGCUAUCACAGGUAAAACACAGAC
rnacentral:lncRNA from 1 species